rnacentral:rRNA from 1 species
GACGAACGCUGGCGGCGUGCUUAACACAUGCAAGUCGAACGGAAAGGCCCCUUCGUGGGUACUCGAGUGGCGAACGGGUGAGUAACACGUGAGUAACCUGCCCUUGACUUCCGGAUAACUUCAGUAAACUGGGGCUAAUACCGGAUAGGAAUCCUUGCUGCAUGGUGGGGGUUGGAAAGCUUCGGCGGUUUUGGAUGGACUCGCGGCUGAUCAGCUUGUUGGUGGGGUAGUGGCUUACCAAGGCUUUGACGGGUAGCCGGCCUGAGAGGGCGACCGGCCACAUUGGGACUGAGAUACGGCCCAGACUCCUACGGGAGGCAGCAGUGGGGAAUAUUGCACAAUGGGCGGAAGCCUGAUGCAGCAACGCCGCGUGCGGGAUGACGGCCUUCGGGUUGUAAACCGCUUUCAGCAGGGGCGAAGCUUGUGGUGACGGUACCUGCAGAAGAAGCACCGGCUAACUACGUG